rnacentral:rRNA from 1 species
UGGUGGAGUGAUUUGUCUGGUUAAUUCCGUUAACGAACGAGACCUCGACCUGCUAAAUAGUUUCGAGGAACUCAACUGGGUUCCUGCAAACUUCUUAGAGGGACUAUCGCUUGCGUGUAGCCGAUGGAAGUUCGAGGCAAUAACA